rnacentral:rRNA from 1 species
GAGCGGCGAACGGGUGAGUAAUGCAUCGGAACAUGUCCAUUCGUGGGGGAUAGCUCGGCGAAAGCCGAAUUAAUACCGCAUACGCCCUGAGGGGGAAAGUGGGGGACCGCAAGGCCUCACGCGAUUGGGUUGGCCGAUGUCCGAUUAGCUAGUUGGCGGGGUAAGAGCCCACCAAGGCGAUGAUCGGUAGCUGGUCUGAGAGGAUGAUCAGCCACACUGGGACUGAGACACGGCCCAGACUCCUACGGGAGGCAGCAGUGGGGAAUUUUGGACAAUGGGGGAAACCCUGAUCCAGCCAUUCCGCGUGAGUGAAGAAGGCCUUCGGGUUGUAAAGCUCUUUUGUCCGGAACGAAACGGUUAGCGUGAAUAUCGCUGACUACUGACGGUACCGGAAGAAUAAGCACCGGCUAACUACGUGCCAGCAGCCGCGGUAAUACGUAGGGUGCGAGCGUUAAUCGGAAUUACUGGGCGUAAAGCGUGCGCAGGCGGUUUUGUAAGCCAGAUGUGAAAUCCCCGGGCUUAACCUGGGAAUGGCAUUUGGGACUGCAAGGCUGGAGUUUGGCAGAGGAGACUGGAAUUCCUGGUGUAGCAGUGAAAUGCGUAGAUAUCAGGAGGAACACCGAUGGCGAAGGCAGGUCUCUGGGCUGAAACUGACGCUCAAGCACGAAAGCGUGGGGAGCAAACAGGAUUAGACACCCUGGUAGUCCACGCCCUAAACGAUGUCGACUGGUUGUUGGGGGUUUGACACUCUCAGUAACGAAGCUAACGCGUGAAGUCGACCGCCUGGGGAGUACGGCCGCAAGGUUAAAACUCAAAGGAAUUGACGGGGACCCGCACAAGCGGUGGAUUAUGUGGAUUAAUUCGAUGCAACGCGAAAAACCUUACCUACCCUUGACAUGUCCGAGAGCCCGCAGAGAUGUGGGUGUGCCCGAAAGGGAAUCGGAACACAGGUGCUGCAUGGCUGUCGUCAGCUCGUGUCGUGAGAUGUUGGGUUAAGUCCCGCAACGAGCGCAACCCUUGUCAUUAGUUGCUACAUUCAGUUGGGCACUCUAAUGAGACUGCCGGUGACAAACCGGAGGAAGGUGGGGAUGACGUCAAGUCCUCAUGGCCCUUAUGGGUAGGGCUUCACACGUAAUACAAUGGCGCGUACAGAGGGUUGCCAAGGAGCGAUCUGGAGCCAAUCCCGUAAAGCGCGU